GCUGGACGGAAACCCUAGCCGCCCGUCCAUGGCGACCCACCGCAGCACCCAAAGGCCUCGACGACGGCGGUAUGGUAGGAGCAACGGCGACCAGCGACGGCCAUGGCGACCCACCGCAGCCUCCAAGACCUCGACAACGGUCGGUGCUACGGUGAGGUACAGCAACCAGCGACGGGACGACGCCUAAAUCCACCGGUACAGGAGAGCAGCCAUGGAAUGGAAGGUCCGUUCCACCCGUUCUUCCCCGCUUGAUUGACUCUAUCUAAGAGUUCUUCGGUUUCAAGUGGAUUUUCUUCUGGGCUCCAUAAGUCAAAAUGGAGACCGCCAC